UAGCCGUGUUUCGAGUUCCUCCGGAACACCCGGGAUUUUUCGUAUUUAGCCACGCCGGUCACGUGAUAUGAGCAAAAUGUUCCACAGGGGUACUUCCGGUUAAUUUUGUUUACACUGGUAACAAAAUUGUUUUUGACAAAAUAUAGAUUUUGCGGCACAAACUGUCGCAAAUCAGAUAAAGGAUAGCAAGGGAUAUAUAUUUACUUGGGAAGAUGUCAAAGUUUGCCUUUUCCCAAACCCGGGAAAAGCGUUCACGCAGAGGAAACGGUGGCGUCAUUUGUGUAGAAAACCACGAGCAGCCGAAAUUGAGUGCGAAUAUUACAUUCCGUGAAAGCUGAACCAACAAAGAAACAUCAUUGUUCUAGCCAGUUUCCUUAUAUUAACUUUUAGGAAAACCAAGAGGUUGAUAACAAUGGCUGAUCUGCAUAUAAUGACUGCUAGUUAUUGGCUGGUAUGCAGUGAAAGGGAGCUAAAAAGGAGUAAAAAGUUCAUAUCAGCCAGGUGAGAAUUAAUUUCUUCUUUUUUGUGUGUUAUACAUAUGUAAUUCUUUUCUUUUGCUGCUUCAAAUCUUGUGUAUUUGAAAAUUUUCAGUCUAAUAUUUUGGCAAUGUUAUAGGUAGUGUGGCUUAAAUAAACCACUGUUAAGGAAUAUCCAGUAAUGGCAUGACAUCAUGAGAGUUUGGCAUACCGACAUUCAGAUGAUUAAUGAUGAAACUGAAGACCUCAAGUGAAAGGCAUGGAAAAUGAUCCUGUUCCCAUAUACCUGAAAAAGAGGAGGGAUGCCACAAUAUUGAUAAUAGACUUUUGUCAAUUUGAGAAGCAAAGAUGUAAAAAAAAAAAAAAAAAAAAAAAAAUAAUGCUGAAAUUAUAAUUCAUGUAUUUGUUAAAAAUACUGUUCACUGUACAUACAUGUAUAUUUUUUAAAACUUAUUUUUAAAUACAUGAAGUAAUUCAUAUUAAAACUGUGAAUGUA